GAUUGCAGAUGGAGGUGUUGUUACAUCCUUCCUUUACAAGGCUAAUGAUUAGAGCACUUGCCCAUAAACGACAUUGAAUGUCUUCUGCCGGUUUUGCAACAUGUAUAUAGGUGUCAGCUCCCAGCUGACAUAAAAAACCUGUGUGUGUAACCUGUGUGUAACCACAGCCAGUGGGCCAUUAUAGCAAAGGAAAAGACCUGUGGGAUCCCUUGAAGCACAGUAGAAGAUAUUUUGCUUCAGGAGUCUGUCCCGGAUCUGAAGAUAAAAGAGAUGUAUGAUUCCAUUGCUGCUUCAGGAGAUGAUAACUUCCUGCAUGUUUUUCACAGUGUUUCUGGACCCCUUGUUUAAGGAACCUAUACCUCCAGGAAGCCUUAGCACUAGGUAAUGUACAUAGAGAUGGAAUAGAUGUGUUAGAAUGCCUUCUGAUUUGGCCCUGAAGGGAACUGCACUCAGCUGAAGAGGCCCAAAUGCUCUGUGGGUUGUAUGGACACAAUUCCAGCAAUAGGAAGGCUAUUUUUUCCCAGGGACACAACCAUCCUUGGAACUCCACAGCAGCUUUAUGACUAGGUGUGACUAGGUGUUAUAGUGGGGUUGAUAUGGGGCUCAAAGAGAUAAUUUGUAAGGGUAGAGGUGUCCAGCUGGAAGUUAAACAGGCCUGAUUAUUUGCACAAGUCUGGGCCUAUCUGAAUUGUUUUUGCUGCUGCAAUAUACCAGCCUCUUUUUUUACCAUGCAUUUGACUUUGAUUCCUCUAUUUAUCCUCCUUAAUAACAGUCUUUGCUUUUAUGGAAAUGGAUUACGUCUGUCAGUUCAGGCUAGAAGUUGUGCUUGUGUUUUUUCUAAACCUCCAGCUCCUCUAACAGCACUGCAUCUGUGCUAUGUGAUUCAUUGUGAGCUAUAAAGCACAGCAGUGCAUUGGAGACAGUGUGUGUGUAAGCUCAGCUUUGUACAUGGACAGCUGAAGGUCGAGAAGCUGGGAUGCCUUAGGAAUGCAGAAGCAGAGCCCUGCCAGAUUUCCUGGGGUCACAGAGGUGUUUAUACACAGAGGUAUUUGAGAUGUGUUUCCAUUCUCUCUGUGUGACUCCGAGCUGUGCCUGAGAACUGGCACAGCUGGCAUUAUUUUAAGACCCUUUUACUAUGUUUUAAAUUUAUCAUAUAAGAUUACAAAAAAUGCCACCUUUGGAGAGCAAACGUGGUGAAUUCUAUCCCUGAAUUCAAGAAAACAUUGUAACUGUUUAUGAAUGUAACAAUGCAAGGAGGGUAAUUGUUAAAUCUGCCUAAUUUCUCUAACUGGAAGCAUCUUUUCCUGUAAUUUUAAGAGCCUAGGAUCCUGGCAACAUCGUGGGCUUUAAUAAUUGCAGCUAAGAUACCAAUAUUGCUGCUUCUGAAUAUAUUUAGUUAUCAAACUUGUGGCCACCUACAUAUCAUGCCACCUAUCAGGUUUUUUUAAAUCAAAACAUGAUGCAUGUUUUAUCUUGCCCUUAUUUCCAAACAUUGUUGUCAAUAAGAUGCAUUCUAAAAUACAAGCCAUUAGUCUUCUCUGGGAUGUGAAUAGAAUCACAUGAAAAUAAAUGGCCACCACUUUGAUACUGCAAAGGUGAUGGGCAGGGAAGUUGUUCUAGUAUAUUCUGAAAUUUGUUAAAAAUACAUGUGUCUACAUGCUGAGAAAGGUCUGGAAAGAGCUAAUCUCUAAUGGAUUGCUCAGUUCUCUAUCUGAAGUGUCUGUGGGCAAAGCCGGGUAAGUAGGCACAUCAAAACUUACAUAUGAAAAUUUUUGUUCCUGUGCUGGAUAUGCCUUUUAAGUGCUUAGGCAUUGAGUGCUCUUUCUGCUGGAAUGCAAAACCAGUGCAUAUAAAUGCUACCAGAAAGGAAGAAGUAUGCUCUCACCAGAGAGAAAAAUUGAGAAGGUGUGCUAGAAACAUGAGACCUGCAGAGUUUCCUGGGGAAAAAAAAUGCUGUUAGCAGCAACCCACCCAGAGUUUUUAGCCUGGAGAAAACAUAUCUCACUGUAAACCUGCGUGAAGCCCAAAGAAGUGGUUGAAGAAAGAUUAGGAUAUACUGUUUUCUCAGUUUUCCUUUGAGCCACCUCCAGACAGUCCCUCUUUAGCAUCCUAAUCUUUGAAAUCCCUUUCUGAGACAUCCUAACUCUCAAAUAAACAUAAGGAGUCAGGGAUCCCAGAGGAGGAAAACCAACAGCUUCUCCUUUGAACCUUGCAAACCCUGGAAUAAAACCAGCACAACACUUUAUGUGCUGGUUCCUCCCACUAAAAUCCAGCAUCCACACCUAUGGUAAAAGUCUGAACUUAAACCCAAGCAGAUGCCAUGUCAUACUGAUACCAUAGCAAAGGCCUUUCUUCCUGCAUUUUUUUCCUAGGAAUGGGGAGGAGGAGAGAAAGGCAGGUAACAGGGAAGUAAAGCUGGACAACGGAUGGGAGGAAAAGAUAACUCUAUUCUCAGGAGUCAUGAAGAAACUCACAAGAGAAGUAAAGAAGACAUUUUCUACUGUGUGUGCUGAAACUGCUGGAGAGUGAGCCCUCCACCUGCACAACUUUCUGAAUAAAUAUUUCAGCAGCGCAAUGAUGGAAUGGGCUGUGGUACGAAGCAGAUGUGGUGUCAAAGGAGCAAAAGCUGCAGGUGAAUUAAUUGAAGCCAUGUGUGACAGUAAAAAGUGGAAUAUCAGUAAAAUAAAUGCUUCAGAAUGAGGAGCAAACCUGCACCCUGUUGGCUUAAAGAAAGGGAGCUGUGAAGGACUGGAGUCACAGCUGUUAUUACU